rnacentral:sRNA from 1 species
GUUGGGCACAGUAGUGUAUGUCUGUAAUCUCAGCUACUGCAGAGACUGAGGCAGGAGGAUCCUAAGUCCAAAGCCUGAUUUGGCAACUUAAUGAGACCCUUUCUCAA